UACGAAGGGGGCUAGCGUUGCUCGGAUUUACUGGGCGUAAAGGGCGCGUAGGCGGUUAGUUAAGUUGGGGGUGAAAGCCCGGGGCUCAACCUCGGAAUUGCCUUCAAUACUGGCUAUCUUGAGUGUGAGAGAGGUGUGUGGAACUCCGAGUGUAGAGGUGAAAUUCGUAGAUAUUCGGAAGAACACCAGUGGCGAAGGCGACACACUGGCUCACUACUGACGCUGAGGCGCGAAAGCGUGGGGAGCAAACAGG
rnacentral:rRNA from 1 species